rnacentral:misc_RNA from 1 species
GGCCAGGGCUCUGUCAGCGGCUUCUCUAACAGCUCGGCCUUGGCGGGGAGCCGAAGGGGAAGAAGGGCUGAGGCGAACUUGGCUCAAAGCUUGGAUGAGUUUAGAGGAGUAGAUUUGUUGCUGAGCUUCGGUUUUCCACUUAGCGUGGCCUUGAUUUUGAUUCUCCUUGGAUGGUGCUUGCGAUUUCUUCUUCUUUUUCCUUUUUGAGCGAUCAAAGUUGGAAUUGGUUACAGGAUGAUUCGAGAUCGCAGUUGACGCCAUCAUGAUCGAUUCUCUUUGAAUUCGAAUAUAGUACUAAAAAUUCUCUGUUUUCCUUCAAUUUUUUGGGAAUCGAAGAGAGCUCAAUUACCUUUCUAAGGAGAAAAAUGGAAGAUCUUUACAUAUAAACAAUGGAGGAUUGAGCUAGGAGCUAAUUAUUUACGUGAGCUGAAACAGAAGAAAUCGAAAAUUUUUUGUUUAGAGAGAGAAAGAAACGGAACGGAGUUUGGGGAAGUGUCGCUUCUCCCGCUAGGUGGGAGAUAAGAAGGAGGGAAGGGGCCUGAGGCUGAGAGAGGAGGGGAGAGAGAAACGGUGGUGAAGCCUAUAAAGGAA